rnacentral:rRNA from 1 species
UACGGGGGGAGCAAGCGUUUGUUCGGAUUUACUGGGCGUAAAGGGCGCGUAGGCGGUCAGCACAAGUCAGUUGUGAAAUCUCCGGGCUUAACUCGGAACGGUCAAGUGAUACUGUCGGACUAGAGUACAGAAGGGGCAACUGGAAUUCUCGGUGUAGCGGUGAAAUGCGUAGAUAUCGAGAGGAACACCUGCGGCGAAGGCGGGUUGCUGGGCUGAUACUGACGUGAGGCGCGAAAGCCAGGGGAGCGAACGGG